GUAAUUUUGAUCUGCAUACCUUCGUGGUAGUCUCGAUCUCUAACUUGUUCUCGGUCAUCUGGAUGUCAGCUUUUAAUCUCUCCUCCGAAAACGCUUUUUUCUCUCGUAGCUUUCUCUUUGUUCUCAAAUUUCACCUUCAACUUUGCUGUCUCCAAAUGUAAACAACGAUUUUUUCUCUAUUUUCUAAUACUCCAUUGAUCUACUCCUUUUUCUCCAAUAACUUUGCAAAACUCACUUUCAAAUUCUUUUUCCCUAGUCUGAUCGCCGUUUGCGUUUGGUUUCCCGAGUCUAAUUUUAGCUCUUGUACGCGUGAAAUUAGAUCAAUUAAUUCGUCUCGAAUUUCGUCAGUUCUUUUCGAUUCAAUUCGCCACUAGGAUAUUUCAUGCUCGAUGAGUUUGCCCGUUUCCUCCAGAUAAUACUUUAGUUUAUCGACUCCUUUAGUUAUUUCACUCUUUUCUUGUUCCUAAAGUUCACUUGAAUCAUUCAAAUGUGUACCCAAUUCACCGUCGGUCAUGCUCUUUACUCGAAGUAUCGUGUGUAUUUUGCAC